rnacentral:tRNA from 1 species
UGGAAUAUCGCCAAGCGGUAAGGCAGCGGGUUUUGAUCCCGCCAUUCCCAGGUUCAAAUCCUGGUAUUCCAGCCA